GCGGACAUGGCGGAAUUGGCAGACGCAUAAGACUAAGGAUCUUAUGAAAGUAUUUUCGUGCAGGUUCAAGUCCUGUUGUCCGCACCA
rnacentral:tRNA from 1 species